CCUACGGGAGACAGCAGUGAGGAAUAUUGGUCAAUGGACGAAACUCUGACCCAGCCACGCCGCGUGAAGGAUGAAGGCCCUAUGGGUUGUAAACUUUUUUUAUAUGGGAAUAAAAUGUUCCACGUGUGGGAUUUUGUAUGUACCAUAAGAAUAAGGAUCGGCCAACUCCGUGCCAGCAGCCGCGGUAAUACGGAGGAACCGAGCGUUAUCCGGAUUUAUUGGGUUUAAAGGGAGCGUAGGUGGAUUGUUAAGUCAGUUGUGAAAGUUUGUGGCUCAACCGUAGAAUUGCAGUUGAAACUGGCAGUCUUGAGUGCAGUAGAGGUGAGCGGAAUUCGUGGUGUAGCGGUGAAAUGCGUAGAUAUCACGAAGAACUCCGAUUGCGAAGGCAGUUCACUGGACUGCAACUGACACUGAGGCUCGAAAGUGUGGGUAGCAAACAGGAUUAGAUACCCGAGUAGUC
rnacentral:rRNA from 1 species